GGGGGGAUUGAUAUGUUGCUGCUAGAUUCCAAGGUAUUCUGAUUAAAGCUUUUUAAAUCGGCGAAUUUCAUUAUUUUAUUAUUUUAUUUUGGGACUCUUUCAUAUUUGUAAGAAAAAUUGGUUACUCUAACUUGAACUAAUAGGCGACGACCGCAAGCUCUAUGCGGCAGAGCAGUUGGUGCUCGACAUCUGCAACCUCAAACUCAGGGAGAAUGCUCUUCAAGAGUUAUCUAAGAUACACUUCGUCUAUUAAAUCUGAGUGGAACCUUCACAUGCUGAAAACAGAAUCGAACUAUCACAAUUACACUUUAGCGGCUGAGAGUGGGAAGAAGGCGAUGCAAGAAGUUGUCUUGAACUGAUAAUUUUAUGUUAGGAAAGCUUAUGUGAUUGCACAUCAAUGGAGGAAAACUUAAGAAUCCCUGAUCAACUCCAUGAUCAUCCCAUGCUGUGAAGAAUGGAUAGAGCCCAAGAGUGAUCACAGUCACAAGGUCGUAGAGAUCACAAUCAGCGCAUGGAAAUAUCUUCUUGAUGAAAACUUGUGAAUGAACCUUCGUGUUCAACGCCCAUGAAAAGACCAAACGACAUACCAAGCAUUGAGUCCGUUGAGGAACUUAGAAUUUCAGCAUCUGAGACUUACUGAGAGCGUGUCAACUUUCAAGAUGGGAAACUGUUGAAACAGGCCAGUGGUGAUGCAAAGCAGCAGCAACAACACCUUAUACGCGCUUCCUCUGUUUACGUAGCAGCUGUGUCGGACUCAAAAUAUACCCUCUCUCGGCUGUUAACUGAGACCAAAGGUUAUUAUUGUGUCAUACUCUACAGAGAGAGUAUUGUUGCAUACAUGUCGACAUAUUUUCUUCGUGGAGGUAGUUUGAGGAUUUUACAAAGUCUUUAUUUGGUUAGUUAAGAUUUGUAUUGUUUAUUAGUUGGAACCAAAGAAAUUAUUAUCUUAUGAAUCAGUAUGUUAGUUGAAA